GCCAGGUUACUCAAGUGGUCAACGAGGACGGUCUGUAAAACCGUUGGCUUACGCCUCCGAAGGUCCGAAUCCUUCACCUGGCA
rnacentral:tRNA from 1 species